rnacentral:ncRNA from 2 species
UAUCACAGCCAGCUUUGAUG